UAAUUAUUAUCUUGCUACUGCAUAUUUCUACUGUAGAUUAGUCAUGUUAAAAGAGCAGCCGUGUGUUAGUGCGCCUCCAUUGGCUUCAAUGGUUGCCACUGAUGCCUUGGUCCAUUCCCCUUUCGAGGUUGACUCUUAAUUCUCUCACUUUUCAAACUGAAUAUGUCAUAAAAAUAGGAAUGGAGAAAUAAUUUUCGUAGUGGCUUGUCAUAGUUAAUAAGUGACAGCCUAAAAGUUGUUGCUAACCACUACGUUCUUAUUUGUGUGUGCAGCUCACGGCUUGAUUGAGAGGUAGAUAGAUCCAUGCCCUUGAAAUGCCUCUCCUAUAUUGUGUGGCCAGUUCUCAAGUUUAUUUGAAUUACCACAGUGAACCUUCAAGUUUAAACCUUUCACCCACCUGUAAUUGAUAUGAUGCUAAAUUACUACUCAUGCUGAACAACUCAAGGUCAGUAUGGAUUGUGGUGCUGGGACUAUGCUACACAUAAACGAAAUACUUGCUAGCACUGCGAUGCAAUUUCUAUGCUUUUUAAUGCUUUUUUCGGCAUCCGAAUGUAGUCAUCAGUGCAUAGAGGAACACUUUUUAUGCUUUUUUAUAUGAAUUUUGAUUCCAAAAUAUAAUAAGGAACUGAAUGUGACUACUUUUCCUUUCAAUAAUAUGCCGCUAUAUGUCAGUGUUGUACAGUUUGGGAAUAAAGCUAUCAUCAGGGCGUAAUUGACAUGUUUUAUGCUGUAAAUAUUUUAAUAUAAUUAGGAACAUAAUUUGUACCACUUCUCACUUCAGUUUGGAUGCACGCCCAUGUCUUUAUUUGUGCCACCAUUGUACAAUUAGCUAGAGCUUUAUUGUUUCUUCCGAUAUGCUGUUAAAUGAUCGAUGAAUUAAGACUGAAAAAUAAUAUUGUGUAUCGUAUUUCUCUGUAUUAUACAUGUUCUUAAAUGGUGCUUUUUUACCAUCUCCUUUUUUCUUAGACCAAUAGUGCUAUAUAUUUGUACCUGUUAAACACUUCAUUGAUAUCUUGCAUGAAGGUGAAGCGUAUGAGAUUAGUGAAUUCCUACUGAUGCUACCAAGGUCAAUUCUUAGACCGGUUGCAGCAGGUUUUACUGUAAUCAUUGGUGCAUCAAUGGUAACUGAACGUUAAUAUGGAAAUCUCGAUGAUUUCCCUCUUUGGGUGAAAUAUACUGUCUCAAUGUUUCAGCUGUGACUUCAUCUGUCAUAAGUUAUCUGGUUAUCUCUUGGGCCAAAGACAAAUAAUUCUCUUUCUCUUAUGUCCAGAUGUGCUUGGCAAUAUUUCAGUAAUCCAUGCUGUUGCUGUUUUCAUAGUCCCAUGAAAAGGAUUCAGUGCUUAGCAAAGGAGUGUGGUCAACGAAUCUAAACUCAUCAUUCAUUGGUUAUCAAUAUUGCGCUGCGUCACCAAGCAGGUGACUAUCGAAGGGAUCUCUUGCUGAAUUGAUCAACUUUAAUCUCUGCAUGUGAGUGUUUGGAAAAACGGCUAGAGAAAAUGAGGAUGAGAUCCUAUUACCAAGGUUGUAUCUAUAAAAAUUGUUGUACGCUCAUGUAGUCUAAGGUUGUUAAUAACCUCUUUAGCGCAUCA